rnacentral:rRNA from 1 species
UAUAGAUGGAUCCGCGCUGCAUUAGCUAGUUGGUAAGGUAACGGCUUACCAAGGCAACGAUGCAUAGCCGACCUGAGAGGGUGAUCGGCCACACUGGAACUGAGACACGGUCCAGACUCCUACGGGAGGCAGCAGUAGGGAAUCUUCCGCAAUGGGCGAAAGCCUGACGGAGCAACGCCGCGUGAGUGAUGAAGGUCUUCGGAUCGUAAAACUCUGUUAUUAGGGAAGAACAUAUGUGUAAGUAACUGUGCACAUCUUGACGGUACCUAAUCAGAAAGCCACGGCUAACUACGUGCCAGCAGCCGCGGUAAUACGUAGGUGGCAAGCGUUAUCCGGAAUUAUUGGGCGUAAAGCGCGCGUAGGCGGUUUUUUAAGUCUGAUGUGAAAGCCCACGGCUCAACCGUGGAGGGUCAUUGGAAACUGGAAAACUUGAGUGCAGAAGAGGAAAGUGGAAUUCCA